rnacentral:rRNA from 1 species
AGCAGCCGCGGUAAUUCCAGCUCCAAUAGCGUAUAUUAAAGUUGUUGCAGUUAAAAAGCUCGUAGUUGAAUUUCGGGAUCAGUAGGUCGGUCAUGCCUCUGGUAUGUACUGGUCUCACUGGUUCCUCCUUCCUGAUGAACCGUAAUGCCAUUAAUUUGGUGUUGCGGGGAAACUGGACUGUUACUUUGAAAAAAUUAGAGUGUUUAAAGCAGGCUAACGCUUGAAUACAUUAGCAUGGAAUAAUGAAAUAGGACGAUCGAUCCUAUUUUGUUGGUUUCUAGGAUUGACGUAAUGAUUAAUAGGGAUAGUUGGGGGCAUUAGUAUUCAAUUGUCAGAGGUGAAAUUCUUGGAUUUAUUGAAGACUAACUACUGCGAAAGCAUUUGCCAAGGAUGUUUUCAUUAAUCAAGAACGAAAGUUAGGGGAUCGAAGACGAUCAGAUACCGUCGUAGUCUUAACCAUAAACUAUGCCGACUAGGGAUCGGAUGAUGUAAUUUUAUAAUGACUCAUUC